rnacentral:rRNA from 1 species
GGAAAACUUACCAGGUCAAAACUAUGGCGGGAUUGACAGAUUGAUAGCUCUUUCUUGAUUCGUGGGGUGGUGGUGCAUGGCCGUUCUUAGUUGGUGGAGUGGGCUUAAUUUGACUCAACGCGGGAAAUCUCACCAGGCCCGGACACUGGAAGGAUUGACAGAUUGAUAGCUCUUUCUUGUUAGCAAUAA